GCCUCUCUCCUCCUCUUCAUUUUGUUCAAUCAGUGCUUUCUGGCACCUAUUGGGCUUCUUAUUAAUAGUAAUAAGAUGUUCAUUCACUGAGUGUCUGGUACUACCGUGCCUCGCUCUGCCUUGCCGCUGAGGCAGGGAAGCAGACGGUAGCACUGAUUUCUGAAGCAUCAGGAGCGUUCAGAAGGACGGGGCUCGUUUUCCACACCACAGCACACUUUGGCAAAGGGAAUGCACAACACAACGGAACAGCACCAAAGAGUGAGCAGGAACACGCCAGAGGCCCCUUCACCCCGAGCCCCCUGCUUCCUAGGAGGUUUCCAAUGGACGCUUUUCCACGUGACGCUCUGUCACGCUGUCGUGCUGGAGAUGGCGGCCCCGCGUGAAAUGAGGCAGAAGAGCAAAGGACUGUAGCCCAGGACAAGGUGUUAAUGGAGACACACGGUUUGUGUGCUUGAGCCUGAUCAGAAAUGGCAGGGUAGCGGUCAGCCAGACCGGGCCUGGCAAGUAGAGCCGAUGGUUGGUGCUGGAUCCAUGGAACCUGGAAGGAGAGAAACCAAGUUCACAGGGUGACCUCUGACCUGCGCACACACACUGCGGCUUGCUGGGGUUUCCUGUUGCACACCCACAUAGUAAACGAACAAACAGUACACCUAAAAGUGUCGGGAUUGAAACAAAGACACGGUAUAUGUUUGCCAUUUUGGUCUUUCUUCAUCAAUAUUGAUUAGUGGCGCGAGGAAUCGCUGCGGCUGGCGCACAGCGGUUUGGGCUUCAGUAAAACUUUGAAAAUUGCCUCUCGGUUCCUUCUUUUUAUAUUUAUGCACAUAACCGUAAACCCGAAAAGCCAGAAUCACAGUUUAAAAGUAGGCAGAAUGUAUCCACAAAUAAAAACUCAUCUAGCAACCAAUAAAAUGGAA